rnacentral:misc_RNA from 1 species
CAGACGGUAGAUCAUUUAUUAAUCGAGGUACUAAUAAUUCAAUAGUUCGCUCGCUGGAUUGUAGGUUUAUAUGAUAAUAAUAAGAAAUAAAACACAGGAAUAGUUAUACUAUUUUAUUUAAUAGCUGUACUGUUAGGACUACUCUAGCACCAUAUAACCUGCAGUCAUACAUCUAUACAAUCAUACCCUAUUGUUACGCUAUUUGCAAUUAAUUCACUUACAUUAGAAUCUAAAACAAACAUAAAAAUUUUAAUUAAUUAAAAAAAUUAUAAUACAGAUAUAUCAGUAUUGUAAGUUAUUUGCGAAAUUCCGAAAACGAACAUCAUGUUCAAUUGCGGAAUUUUACAAAUUACUUAUUCCGCGGAAUAAUUGAAUAUUUCAAACUUAAUAAGUGAAUGAAUUAUAUUCUUGUACUAAGUAUUAUUAAUUUGUUAUUACAACCCGCUGCUUGUAAUACAAUUUAGAAUUUAAUACAGCAGUAACUUAAGUAAUAAAUGUUGAAAUAUUUUGAUGUUGAAUGAUUAAAACUAUUUGUAUUUAUGGAAAGGCGACAAGUACGCUACGACUUUUAAAUUAUUAGUUUUUAAGUUGUUUGUUUAAUAGUAACUGCGGAGUUUCUUGCCGAUUCUUCUCUGCAGAAUCUACAUUCCGAAUCGGUGGUAGCUUUACUUUAACCAUAAAUAAUUUAUUUUACACAAAUAUUUUUAUUUGUAAAAUGACGAUUCAAAAAAGCCUUCUUGAGAGGAAUAAUCGCAAUUUUGUUUGUAAAAAAUGUUUUAAACUGUAUUUAUUAUAGCUAGGAACAGAAUGUUUGCUGUUUUUAGUCUAGACGCUUAGGUGAUGAUCAAGAUUCAAGCGAUUCAGAAAAAUUAUUCGAGAUUAAAGAUCAGAAUUCCAUUAUAUUUUAAUAGCUUAGAGAUGUAAAUUGCAUAUUUUAUUGAUGAUUAAGAUCAAUAUUGUUUUUUUUUAUUGAAGAAUUAACAUUUCAUAUCAUAUAGGGUUACGGGGUCCGACUACGACUGAACUUAUGAUUCUUGGGGUCUGUCUAAUGUAAACAUUUAAUAUUAAUGAAUUGAUUUCGACAAAGUAUUAGAAAGUUUUGAAUAAAAUAAGCAGGUUUGGUCCAGUCGUUAUCUUGAUUAGCGCCUUAUAGCAACACCUUUGGCUAGAAAAAUAGUUUAUCAAGUUAGUCAGAGUUUAGUGUAGUACUUAUCAAUUAUUAUUAAUUUUGUGUUUUUCUUUAUGUAUAGAAGAUAAAUUAAAUACAUUUUGGAUAUUUACUGAACUACCUGCCCAGCGUGGUGACUAUGGGCAACACACGAGUUCACGCCAUUUUUGGCGCGAACUUGUGGAGGCCUAUGUCCAGCAGUGGACUGUGGCUGAAAUGAUGAUGACGAUGAUGAUUUACUGAACGUAAAUAUGACACGUUUUGAAGUAAAUUUUUGCACUAUUUUAUUAAUUAUUCUUACACUACCUAACUCCUGAAAUCAAUUAUUAAAAAUAUUACCUUUCUAUUUGAAUAAUGACACUAUUUUUCUUUUAUUUAAAAUUCGAUGUUCUAUAAUAUUUAAAAGCUAUUUUUUUUUUUUUGAUUUCUAGUUUUUACUAUUAAAAAGAAAUGGCAGUUAUAACUAUUGUAAUACAUAUUUGAAGAUAUGAUUGUUUGAUACUUUGAAACAACUAAAAUUUAAACAAAAAAAGCAUUACAUUAUUUUAAUCGAUUCUAUGAUCUGUAGAUAAUUUUGUUAAUUGUUAUUUCUUCGGACAAAAAACGUUAGAAUUAUAACACGAGCACCGCAUACUCUAUAUUAUAUACUUUAUGAUUUUGUAAGAUUUUUUUUUAGGAAAAAAUGAUGAUAGUAAAUUUCUACGAUGCGCACGCACACCGUCACAAGAAACCGACACCCUGAAGUUAGCCAGUCAGCGAAGAAGAAGUUAGCUAGACAAUGAAGUAUAACUUCUUACGUGCGUACAUAAGUACACACACUCUUUAAACUUAUCAAAGAUAAAGUUUUUAUUAGCUAUAACUCGGCCUAUACCGAAACAAUACAGUCACAUAUAUCAAGACGAACUUUUCUUUAUUUACACGUAAUAUGGCCAUAUAUCUAUCGAUUUGGCUAUUUGGCAACUUUUGAAACGAUACUUGCUCGCUAAUACUUAAGAUUGAUAUGUGAUAUAAAAUUUUGUUUUUUAAUAUCAUUUUCGCUAUUUUUAGCGACAUUUUCUAAAGCUAUUUGAAAAUAGCAUAGAAUAUUUUGAGUUGUACAGUCAAGAUCAUACAAUAUAUUAGGAAUUAAUUUUCAAAAUCCAACUUCAAGUUUAAAUUUUCUAACCAUCUUCAAAAAAGGAGGAGUUAUCUCGUCACCUGUCACUGGACGUACCGUUUUUUUUUUUCGAAAAGUUCAUAUUUCUAUAGUGGUCCUAUUUCAAUUCGAUCAAGAUUUGACGCGUAGUUGUCGAAUUAUGCUCAAUGUAAGUACUAUACGUUGUAUUACCUGUCGAUGUUAAUUGAUGGCAGUUUCUUUUUUGUUCGAGAGCAAAACACAAAUAUUAUUUUAACCUUUAUCAGAUGCUGUUAAGUACUGAAACCAAUUUAAUCACUGUCCAACAAACCAAGUUUUAUUUGAUGUAAUUUCCUUCAUAAUUUUUCUUUCCCCUGUAUUAAAUUUAUGCUCGCAAACGAAAAAAAAA